AGCCCCGCGCUCUACCAGGCAGAGCGCGUGUGGCCGCCGAGCACAUGGACCCACUGGUCAAGCGGGCUCGGCAAGGCCAGGAUGAAGAGAAGCUACGAACUUAGCAUUCCCAGAGCCCCCCGAGUGGAUAUCCGCGUGGAAAGGAUGUUGGCAGCCCCGGUGACCUCGGAGUCACGGCUGGAUCCACCCUCUUGUCUGAUUUUCUUAACUCUACUACGGUAAGAAGAUGCCCUCCAUCAGCAGGCCGUGUCUGCUGGGACCUCUCUGGAGACUUCCUGAACCCUGUGGAUUUACAGUAAGAUGCAGUUUCCUGGGGAGUAAUUCUGGUGGAUACAAAUUCCGGAGUAUUACACCUGGCUUGCCUGGAGAUGUUACAAGUAGCUGGAUGGAUUCUUCAGCCUGGAUGCCCACUGAAAACAAGGACCGAAACUAAGAGGAUUGUAUCUCUACCCUUGACUCAAUGAGAAUGUUUGUUGUCAUCUCUCGGGCUACCUGGAGCUCCCUCUAAAAUUAUACCCUUUAAGCGUUCCAGAAGGAUUUUGAGAUCCUUUCCUAAAUCAAAGGUGGAAUAUUUGGGGAUUUGGAAAAUUGAGCCAGUCUCUCAGAAGAACCAGUUGUGUUACUUUGCUGUGAGAUGCCUGCCCUAAGAGAGGAGCAGAAGGUCGGAACGGGUCCUCUAAUGUGAUAAUUAGAUGUGAAGCGUUGACUUAAGAGAUGCCAAGUAACUCAGCAGAUGUCACACAGACGAUAAAUAGCAAAGAUGGAAGUCUUCAUGCCGGAGGCAAUCCUAUAAGACAGCUGAGUUCUGCAGAGCUGGUAGGAGACAGACUUGCUCAGGUGAUAGAUCCAGCCAUGAUACUGACCCUAAGAGAAUGAGACGCUCUGCAGAAGACAGAAGAUUCCUGAAACUGGGAAAGGUGCCUAGAAAUCCUGAUAAGAGUGAAGAAGGCUCGGCUCUCCAGUGUGGUUUUCCAACAGGAGUCAAAUAUUAAAGGACAUGAGCGUGUUGGGGAAAAAGAUGGAUAGUGCUAAACAGCCUGAGUUCAUCCUCACUAUCCUCUUCAUAAGGAGAGCAAGAACAACCCCGGAAAUGGCUCAUGCUUAAGGUUUCUAACCACGGUCACACCUACAACACACUGAUUGACAAUAUAGGUUACAGUACACAUGGCUCUGCUAUUUGCUUUUUGGUCACUUUGAUAUUCCCUGGUACCUGGGAAGAAGGAAUCUCCGUUGAGGAGUUGCCUACAUUUGAUUAGCCCGUAGGCAUGUCUCUGAGGCCUUUUCAUAGUUGCUAAUUGAUGGAGGACAGCUUAGCCCACUGUGGGUGGUGCCAUCUCCUGGACAUGGGGUCCUGGCUUAUAUCAGAAGGGAAGCUAAGCAUGCGCCUGGGAGCAAGCCAGUAAGUAGGUCUCCUCCAUGGUCCCUGUCUCUGCUCCUGCCCUUAAUUUCCUCAGCGAAUGACUGAUGCAAACAUGUAAGCCAAACAAACCCUUCUUUCCUCUCUGUUACUGUUGGUCGUGGUGUUUAUCACAGCAAUAGGAAAAAACACUAGGGCAGUGACGUAUAAGAGUGCACUGUGCCAUUGUGAGGAUUCAAUAUCCUUAGCGAUCUUCAGAAAAAGUUUACUAUGGUGCCUGGAGCAUUGUUAUUUGCAGAGAUCCCUAGUGGCUCCUGGGCCUCAGUUUCCCUGUCUUCAUUCUGUCUGUAUUAUAUAAGCAUGGUGUCCAUAGCUCUAGCUCUUGCUUAAUGAUUCAACUGAGUAGGUACAACCAUGCUGACCAGCCAUGACAUGUCCUGCCUGGCCAUAGCCUGGAGUUGGACACAGAAACAGGGGCAUAGCUGCCUACUGUGUGUGGCACAGUGUGUGUCAAACUCCUGGAGGCAGCCAGGCAGCCAUCUCUAUAUUCUUCCUAUCAGAAUUCCUUUCACAGGUCCAAGCCAUCUUAAGAUGGAUAAAGGCCUGGCCUUCAGGCAAGGCUAUGCCUGUCAGUUCCGAAUCUCCAGCUAAGUGGACUUGCAGCCCUCCCUGUCCUCUGGAUGUCUGCAUCAUUCAUACAAGGGACACGUUCUCUUUAGAGAAGAGCGUCUUCUGGGCUUCUCCCAGGUUGGAAGUGUCCUCUACUUCUUUCUUCCUGGCAAAAGCACUGGCCUAAGCAGCUCAGGAACAACCUACAAUAGAGGGAGGGCCUCUUACCUCGGAUGGAAGUGGAAACAUAGUCUCCACGUUGGAACUGAGUCUUGGUUAUGCUCUGAGAAGUAGCCUGGAUUUCUAAGAUCUCAUGCUCAUCGUUUUCUCUGGAGGCCCAACUCUGUUCUCAUGAGCCCUGGCACGUUCCCUACCAGCAUCUUUGUUUCCUAUCUGAGGAGUGCGGAUGAUGCUUCUCCUGGUAAGGGGUAUGAAUAGAAUUCCUGCCUGUGUUCUAUGUGCUGAAUCCCAGAGCCUAGAGUAGGGCCUGGGCUCUGGCGAUUGACUGGUAAACACUUGUUUUGGAAGAGAUAGUAGAGUCUUUGGAGUUCCUGGCACAAUCUUCUUGGAUAGUUGCCUGUGCCCGUUCUAAACCAGGAUCUGACUAAUUACAACUCCUCCUGCUUGCAUUAAAGUUUUAUUGGAACAUG
rnacentral:lncRNA from 1 species